UGGGGAAUAUUGCACAAUGGGCGAAACCCUGAUGCAGCCAUGCCGCGUGUGUGAAGAAGGCCUUCGGGUUGUAAAGCACUUUCAGUUGUGAGGAAAGGGAUGUAGUUAAUAACUGCAUUCUGUGACGUUAGCAACAGAAGAAGCACCGGCUAACUCCGUG
rnacentral:rRNA from 1 species